CCUACGGGCGGCAGCAGUGGGGGAUAUUGCACAAUGGGGGGAACCCUGAUGCAGCGACGCCGCGUGGGUGAAGAAGCGCCUCGGCGCGUAAAGCCCUGUCAGCAGGGAAGAAAAUGACGGUACCUGAAGAAGAAGCCCCGGCUAACUACGUGCCAGCAGCCGCGGGAAUACGUAGGGGGCAAGCGUUAUCCGGAUUUACUGGGUGUAAAGGGGGCGCAGACGGCGUUGCAAGCCAGGAGUGAAAGCCCGGGGCCCAACCCCGGGACUGCUCGUGGAACUGCGUGGCUGGAGUGCAGGAGGGGCAGGCGGAAUUCCUGGUGUAGCGGUGAAAUGCGUAGAUAUCAGGAAGAACACCGAUGGCGAAGGCGGCCUGCUGGACUGCAACUGACGUUGAGGCCCGAAAGCGUGGGGAGCUAACAGGAUUAGAUACCCGUGUAGUC
rnacentral:rRNA from 1 species